ACACGGUUUCGGUCGUGGUUGCCAGGGUUGCGCUGUAACGGCCCCUCGGGUGAACCGUCACAUAGCACCGCCCGACUGUUGUACUCUUCGGGUUGUGAACAGACCACCUGUACACGUGAAGUCAUAUGCUGGUAUCGUGUGUCAUUUUGGAAGCUGCAUGUCUCUCAGAUCAUAAGUUUGUCACAUGUUCAAGAAGUCCACACGAGGGCCAGAUAAUCCAGCACACAGAACCAGUCUGAACCUCUCUCUCUCAAUCUCGCUCUUGCUCGCUGACUCGCUCAGUGGGAGAAUAAACACUUAAAAAUGA